UUUUUUUUUUUUUCGUGGCGCCGGUUUCCUAUAUUAUAUCAUUGUCGACGUGUCCGACUGUCCGUAUUUUGAAUGGGAAACGAGAUACUGGAUAUCUGUAGAAAAAACUCGUACAACUCGGACAAUAAUUGUCGAACAAUUUCUACAAACGAUUAUUUAUUACGUGACGGUAAAAUCACCGUUAAAACCGAUUUGUUCUUAAACCGAAUUGCACCAAUUGACGGCCCCGAACGAAUAUUAAUAAUUGUACAGUAUUUUAACACCGUUGUCUCUCGAAUAAUCAUAACAGUGUGAUUAACAUUUUUUCACGGCGAGUAAAUCAAUAUUUGGGAAUCUGCACGUGUAUCGAACGGCACGUGGAAUUUCUCACAGAACCGACGCGCGCGUGAACCUGGAAAAUGUCCGAACUCCGACCUGACGCGUUUCUCACGAAAACCGUCCGGCCAUUUCACCUCGACCCCCG